GGAGCUUCUACAAUCUAUAGUCUCACUUUUGCCAUCUGAAAAAGCUGCUUUUCCGAUCAAUUUCCUCUGUUGCCUUCUCCGAUCGGCUAUUUUCCUCAACGCCUCAAGUUCCUGCAAAAACGAGUUAGAGAAACGGAUCUCUGCAAUACUAGAGCAUGUGACUGUUGAUGAUCUUCUGGUUUUGUCUUUCACUUACGAUGGUGAGAGACUGUUUGAUUUAGACAGUGUGAGGAGGAUUAUAUCUGGAUUUGUGGAGAAGGAGAAGACCAUGGCUGUGUUUAGCAG
rnacentral:lncRNA from 1 species